AUUCCAGCUCCAAUAGCGUAUAUUUAAGUUGCUGCAGUUAAAAAGCUCGUAGUUGGAUUUCGGAUGGGAUUUGCCGGUCCGCCGUUCCGGUGUGCACUGGCCAGUCUCAUCUUGUUGUUGGGGACUAGCUCCUGGGCUUCACUGUCCGGGACUAGGAGCUGACGAGGUUACUUUGAGUAAAUUAGAGUGUUCAAAGCAGGCCUACGCUCUGAAUACAUUAGCAUGGAAUAACAUGAUAGGACUCUGGCUUAUCUUGUUGGUCUGUGAGACCAGAGUAAUGAUUAAGAGGGACAGUCGGGGACAUUCGUAUUUCAUUGUCAGAGGUGAAAUUCUUGGAUUUUGGAAAGAUGAACUACUGCGAAGGCACUUACCAAGGAUGUUUUCAUCA
rnacentral:rRNA from 1 species